rnacentral:rRNA from 1 species
UACGUAGGGUGCGAGCGUUAAUCGGAAUUACUGGGCGUAAAGCGUGCGCAGGCGGUUCUCCAAGUCCGUUGUGAAAGCCCCGGGCUCAACCUGGGAAUGGCAGUGGAAACUAGGGGGUCUGGAAUCUGGCAGAGGGGGGUGGAAUGCCGCGUGUAGCAGUGAAAUGCGUAGAGAUGCGGCGGAACACCGAUGGCGAAGGCAGCCCCCUGGGCUGAGAUUGACGCUCAGGCACGAAAGCGUGGGGAGCAAACAGG